AUCCAGGAACGCUGCAGAUGAAAAUCUCUGCUCAGGAAAGCCCGAAGGCCUCACGUGAUGCCUUGCGCAUUUUUAGAAUUUCAAAUUAAACGACGUCUUUUUAAAAAAAUUAUCUCUCUCCGGUCAGAAGGAAUUCAUGGGACCCGGGACUGUGAUUGACGUGAUUAAAUAUUUCAUUUCUGAGAUCACACCAAGGAGAAGGGCUACUCCUGCUGUUGCAUGGCUGUGCCUCUGGGGGAGCAGAGCACGAAGGAGCCUUGACCACCCUCCCCUGCAGAGUACGGCUUCCUAAUUUCACCUGAAGUGAAGGAGAGAAGAUUCAGGUUGUUUCUGUUCAUACAGAAACAAGGUGAGAUCCGGAUCAGAGAUGCUGAGGACAGGAUAGGUCAUGGUGAACCUUCAGCUUGACUCUGGGUGACACAAAGCCCCCAUUUCCACUCAGUUUCUGUUGAGCAGUUACUGGUUUUAUUUGGCCACAUACCAGUUUUUAGAAAGCUACCCAGUCCUGCUUUGAAGAACUCAAAGGACCAUGAGGUCGACACUUCUCCAGGCAAGGAGAAGCUCUUUCCAAGGUCAAGGUGCCCAUCCCCUAAAACAUAGGCUUCAUUUCCUAUUGAGAUUGGCUUCAUGUUAAUGACCGGGUUAGACAAGGUCACUGCCACACAUUAUAAUCUAAUUAGUGAUAGAGGUUGACACCAGCUGAGUACCUGCAUCUCACCAGCAAUAAAAGAGGCUCAUGGCAACCUGGGAGAUGGCCCAGAGGGGCUUUCUGAGCCUGCAGAAAAAUGAUAAGAGACUCCGACAUUAGAAAGACGGGAUCCUGAGCCGUGAGAUAAAGUAAGAGGUAUUGGUUCAAAAUGAGGCAGUUUUAUGAGUGAUUUUCUGCAGCUUUGUUUCAUCCAGUGUCCCUCUGAGUCAAAAAACCCACUGCUGCUGUUAGAGCUGGAUGUGGACAUCGGAGAUGACUAAAGCCACUUGAGAGAGACCCAUUUGUGGCUGGAAGACCCAUAACCGAUUUUACAAGAGGAGUUUUACAAAAGAAAAGUUUCAAAUUAGAUCCAAACAAAGAUCCCAAUUAGAUUUCACGUUGAAUGAAUGAACUUAGCCCGCUCCGUAAGACGGGCAGGGUGACACCUCUCUGUUUGUUUGGAUUUGGGAAUGAUGGGUGCAGUGAAGCAAUCCUCGCUGUGAAACAGUGAAAGCAAAUUCCUCCUCAUUAAUCCUUAGGGGUUUGCUAAUGGUUUAUCCUGGUUGUGGAAAUCCACUGUUACAUCGUUUAACACAGACUCAGCAGAGCAGAAAUGUUCCUCUAAGCUAUCAUCUUGAGCGUUAGGUGUAGAGGACUUCUCUUGCCAAAUGUCUAUGGUCUCUGAUUUUUUAAAAAAAAUAUUCUAAUAAGGUAAAGCAUUCAUAAAGCCUUUGGUUCCAGGAGCUGGAUCUCUCCAGGGCUGAGAAAAGCUUAGAAUGGAAUGGAAUAGAGUGGGGUAAAAUAAAAUAGAAAUUAACUUCAUUCUCGUUUCCCCGCUGUUGUUGACAUUUCCCAUCCUCAAGUAAACAAGUAAACAAGUAAACUUC